rnacentral:tRNA from 1 species
GCCCCCAUCGUCUAGUGGUUUAGGACACUUCUCUUUCAAGGCAGCAACGGGGGUUCGAAUCCCCCUGGGGGUA